CUCAGAAAUUACUUCUGCUAGCUCUUUCAAGACCUAAGGUGGAGCUCGUCUGGGCCAGGCCACCUGAAUUCACUAAAGGCCCAGUGCUCUACCCCUUGUACCACUUAUCUCUGUGGAGACAUACAGCUGAGAAUAGCAUGAUGACCACCAGACUGCAUCAAUGGCUCUGUAACAUUGUAGGUCUAGACAAUCAAACAAAACAAUAAAUCGAGUCCUGAUUUGUAACAGCUACUGGUUUCUGAGGUGUGAACAGCCAC